GUCGUGCCCACAAGUCGCCGUGCCCGUAAAUUGCCGUCCCCACGAGUUUCCGUGCCCACAAGGUGCCACCCAGCCUGCUUUCCCCACACCUGUGCUGUCCCCCCCCAUGUGUCAGGCCAACAGCUUGCCUGAGGCGGUGGGUUCAGCCAGGCCCGGCAGAGAUGGAGUGGAAAUUAGAGAAAUCUGCUGUGAGGAGGACGAGGAUGGAUGAGGAUUUCUUAUGGGAAAAGGAGAUGCGAACGCUCGGAAAAGACCUGAAGCGGAGCAGAGAGCAAAGCCUACAGAAAGUGACCGAGGCCGCCGCCUCGGAGAGGAC